GACGAACGCUGGCGGCGUGCUUAACGCAUGCAAGUCGAACGAUGAAGAAGAGAAACGCGAACUUCGGUUCAAAUUUCACUUCGGAUUAGUGGCAGACGGGUGAGUAACGCGUGAGCAACCUACCUCUUACAAAGGGAUAGCCUCGGGAAACCGUGAUUAAUACCAUAUGACACAUUCAUAAGGCAUCUUAAGAAUGUUAAAGCUACGGCGGUAAGAGAUGGGCUCGCGUCCCAUUAGCUAGUUGGUGAGGUAACGGCCCACCAAGGCGACGAUGGGUAACCGGCCUGAGAGGGUGAACGGUCACAUUGGAACUGAGACACGGUCCAAACUCCUACGGGAGGCAGCAGUGGGGAAUAUUGCACAAUGGAGGGAACUCUGAUGCAGCGACGCCGCGUGAGCGAUGAAGGAAUUCGUUUCGUAAAGCUCUGUUCUAUGGGAAGAAAAGGACUGUACCAUAGGAGAAAGCCCCGGCUAAAUACAUG
rnacentral:rRNA from 1 species